UAUGUAAAUGUAGGAAGGAGGUAUGAUAUAGGUUUGUGUGUGUGUGUAUAUAUAUAUACACACACACAAACCUAUAUCAUAUAUAUAUAUAUA